AGGACCAUAGCUCAGUUGGUUAGAGCGCCAUCAUGACAUGGUGGAUGUCGUCGGUUCGAAUCCGACUGGUCCUA